GCCCACCCCAGGCUCCGCGUGCAGCGCUCAGCCCGCGGCUCUGGCCAUGGCUACAUUGAGGGUCCAUCCCGAAGUCCAAGCCAAGGUUGAUGUGUUUCGUGAAGACCUGUGUAGUAAGACAGAGAACCUGCUUGGGAGCUAUUUUCCCAAGAGGAUCUCAGAGUUGGAAGCCUUCUUAAAGGAGCCAGCUCUCAACGAAGCCAACCUGAGCAAUCCGAAGGCUCCAUUGGACAUCCCAGUUCCUGAUCCUGUCAAGGAGAAAGAGAAGGAGGAGUGGAAGAAGCAACAGGAGAAGGAAGAGAAGGCCGAAAAGAAGAAAGGGGACGAAGACGACAAAGGUCCUCCCUGUGGCCCAGUGAAGUGCAAUGAGAAGAUUGUGGUCCUCCUGCAAAGCCUAAAGCCCGAGAUCAAGGAUAUCAUUGAGCAACUCAACCUGGUUACUACCUGGUUGCAGCUACUGAAUACCUCGGAUAGGAUGGGAAUAAUUUAAGCGUGGCUGUCCAGGAAAGGUGUUUGAGCUGAUGACCACCUUCAUACCAAGUUGGAAGGCUUCCAAGCGUGAGAUCUCUAAGUACUUCUCCGAGGAGGGGUGGCCAGUAUUAAAACGUAAGCAGCCCCGUGGGUGAUUAUCGACAACUGGUGCCUGUGAGCUGGACGAGGCAGAAUACCAGAAUCCGGCUGAUGGUCAUGGAGAUCCAUGCGCUUAUGCUGUGUUAUAUGACAUCAUCUGA